GCGGGCUCUCCAUCCCCGGCGACCUGCAGGGGAGCGCGUUCCCAGCGCAGCCCCGGGAGGACGCUGCCACCUCCCAAACUCGGCCCUUCUGGCCUUUUCCCUGGAGCGGGGGCGGUGCCAAGCCCGAGCGGGACGUGGCGUCCGAGCGCUGCGCCCGCGCCCGCCGCUGCCGCGCCGCGGCGAGGGGCCGAGACCCCGCGCCCGCGCCCGCAGCCCCCGCUUCCCGCCGCCGGACCCUGCGCCCGCGGACUGGUUUUAAUUUAACGUCAUGAAGACAAGAAUGGAAUCACAACCAGUAGCCCUGGGGAUGACCGUAAGUGACUACACACUACCUCAAGCAAGAAGAGUAGCAUGAAUCCUCACAGGGACGAGAGAAUCUGCUUUAUUUAGAACGAACCAAUGGCUCCCAGAAGUCCCCCUGGCCUCCCACCACGCACAUGUGUCAUCUGCUACACUUGGACCAAUUUCCUCAGUGGACUUGGGCAGAGCUACUUGCAGAAACGCUGCUUACACUUCGACCUGCAGUUCCUGCAUACUAACAAGAUGGUUUCCUUUCAACUGUGGACACACAUGCAUAAAUGCGUAUGUAUAUAGUACAAUUCCCUGUAGGUAUGUGCUAUGUCUAUAAUAUAUAGAUAUCUCACAAAAAACAGUUAACUGUAAAUGCACA